UUGAAAGGGAAACGAUUGAAGUCAGUCGUACCAGCGGGAAAUCAACCUUUCGAGUGGGGUUUUGGAGUUUUUUGAAGAGUGUCAAAACCUUUAUUCCAAAAUAUUCGCUCUUUUGGUGUACUUUCUCGUGGGUAGGUUAACAUCGAUUUUGAUCAUCAUAAAAAGAUUGGAGGAAUGUAGCUUCGAUCAUGUAUUGAAGUGUUAUAGCCUUUGGUAAAUGUGAUGAUUAGGAUCGAGGAUUGCAACGAAUACCCUUUUGGGCUAUCCGCCUGAUCUCUGAUACGUGGCCUUGGUAUCGAAAGCGUGCUUAUGGUAUUGAGGUAUUACGGUCAAAAGGUUAGAACGGAUUUNCAUUCGUUAAGGAUGUUGACGUA
rnacentral:rRNA from 1 species